ensembl:lncRNA
GUAUGCCAAGCCCCUGUCACCAGCUGGCCGAUGGACCGGGUUUCCUGCACUUAUGAGCCCUCUGGAAGUAUUACAGGACCCUGUGAUGAAGCCUACCGGUUUUGUAUUUCAAGGUCCCCUCCUAGUAGCCCAGAGGAAUGGCUGAGGAGUUGCGGUGAGUUGGGGAGGUUGGGAGGAGGAGCGAGGGUCCUCUGAAGUUUCAGCAAUGCCGCGUCACCUUGUCUCCACUUAACCUAGGUGUACCCUGUGUUGAAGGUGUCGGCCUCCAAGCACGCCUGAGGUGCGUGGCCCGAGCAUUCUUAGGAAACGACCAAGAGAGAAGAGCCUGGUGACAACUGGAAUUUCCCAGACCGGCAGGAGGCCUCCUUCUGCACCUGAUGAGGAUUUGCAUCCCCAGAUAUGUGCAAGAUAAGUCAAGGGUUACGACCCACAGAGGGGAUGGAAGAGAGGUGCCAGGUUAGGACUCCGCAGGAGGGGUUUUUGUGUCUGUUUUAGAGAUGGGGAUGUCCAAGAAGCAUCCCCUUAGGCCACCUAUAGCGCAAGUGUCUGUUUUGAUCUCUGUGCUGAGGUGCACAGGGAAGAGCAGUUCCGGUUUGUGUCCUGUCACUUGUCUCUGGUGCACCCUGUGUUCUUUGGGUCUCUCGGUCCUUUCUUCUCAUCUAAAGCUCUCUCUCCCUCUCCUGUCCCCUCGUUUGUCACGUCCUGUCCCGUGUCACGGGUGUCUGCACAUAUUCAUCCCGGAGCUGCUCUGCCCUGCUGCAUAGCCUGUAACAGCACAAGUCCUGGGGACUUGAAAUUUGUAAUGCAGGGUGUAGUUGGGCUCUAGACUGGAUUAAGAGAUUGCCAUAACAUGUUUGGUACUGUUAAGUUUUCCUGCAGCUGGUUGACACUAGUUCUAACUUCCUUUCAGAUGCCGACAGUUCAAAUCUGUGGCAGUGGGCUCCAGUCCUGGCUGAGGAACUUCCAAUGAGCAGGUCAGUCAUUGUUUGCAUUUGCAGGGGAAGUCUAAAUGGUGACUCUAUUACAGUGGAGUUCUUUGCCUUUAUUUUUAGGAGGUCCAGGCAGAUAGCAGCUGUCAAGGCCAAGUCUGCCAGGGAAUCCACUGGCAGUAUGCCGAGCCCUUGUCACCAGCUGGCUGAUGGACCAGGUUUCCUGCACUUAUGAGCCCUCUGGAAGUAUUACAGGACCCUGUGAUGAAGCCUACCGGUUUUGUAUUUCAAGGUCUUCUCCUGGUAGCCCAGAGGACUGGCCGAGGAGUUGCAGUGAGUCGGUGAGGUAGGGAGGAGUGAGAGUCCACUCGAGUUUCAGCAAUGCCAUGUAACGUUGUCUCCACUUAACCUAGCUAUACCCUGCAAUGACGGCGUCAGAAUCCAAGCAGACCUGAAGUGUCCAGGCCAUGUACAUGUCCAUUUUGAUGAGAAUGGUGAGUAGCAAAAUUAUCAGGUUUUGGCAGAUGUGCUGUUAAGACUGUGUACUGAUGUUUGGUUUUCUUUCUCUUGGCAGACCAAGAGGUGUCACGAUCCGCUUAUAGCGGGGUGUCGUGAUGGUUCGUUAGCCGAUCCCAAAGUGCAAAAGACAAACAGCAGGGGACUAUCAGUUUAAUCACAACAGAUGCACCUUUAUUAAGGGCCAAAACCAAUAAAUGCGAUAGUGGGGGUCAGAAAAGAAAUAUAAAAGGAUAGAGAGAGAGAGAGAAAGGGGGGAUGGGAAUAGCUACCAACACAGGCGAGGUCCUCAGUGGUCCGGACGAUGGGGAUCCGUCUUGUUGUGUUGGGGAGAGUCUCCGAAAUCCUACCCAACCCAGGGGUCCAGUUAUAGUCCACAGAAGGAAAGGGGGGAACAUGCAGAACAAUGAGACUCUAUUGAAAUUGCUAUGGGGGGAACAGGUGUAUCUACAGAAAAUCAUCCAGGCUGAACAAACACAAUAAUGAAUAAGUCCAUUGAAGUUACUGGAGAAGAACAGGUCAUGUCAUUUCCCCCACCACCACUCUCUGUGGUAGGGGUCUCAGUCUCAGUCCUUGGGGAGAGGGUUCUUGAUCUCUGUCUGUCACGGUGGUAACGAGGCAGAUGAGGGGUCUUCAGUGAGAGACCACCAGAGUCACCCCAACAGUUCAUUCAGCUUAAAGGUGGAGAGUGAAGCAGGAAUUGCAGAGGGCCGCUCUGUGCUGGGUCCACGCUGGGUCUUCGCCAAGUCCUUGCCAACUCCUUGCCAAGUUCUUGCCGGGCCUCAUUCGGAACGGAACGUAACGGUACAGCGGCUGCACCUGCACUGUUGCCUUCUCCAAGCCGGAACUGCAGUGGGGGAAGGGAGUUCCUUCUCGUGGCAAUCGGCAGGCAAAUGAGUGAGGGUCUUCAGACGGCCUCUUACACCACCCCGUGACUGACGAUUGCCCUCAAGAGAUCUUCUGUAGUGUCGUUGUGAAGUCUUCAGGACUCGUCUAGUGUUGGCAGCAUAUCCCAGAGAAGGGAAAGGAAAGAAAAGAAAAGGAAGGGGGAAAGAGAAUAGGGGAAAUAGUAAAACAAUAACAAUAAUUAAUAAAUUGAAUCAAUAUUAAUUGGAACAAUUUUAAUUGGAACAAUUUUCUAAUCAAUAAACAAUGAG